rnacentral:lncRNA from 1 species
UAUGUUUUUAUGCCCCACCUACGAUAGUAGAGGGGCAUUAUGUUUUCUGGUCUGUGCGUCCGUUCGUCCGUCCGUCUGUCCCGCUUCAGGUUAAAGUUUUUGGUCAAGGUAGUUUUUGAUGAAGUUGAAGUCCAAUCGACUUCAAACUUAGUAUACAUGUUCCCUAUGAUAUGAUCUUUUUAAUUUUAAUGCCAAAUUAGAGGGUUUAUCCCAAUUUCACGGUCCACUGAACAUAGAAAAUGAUAGUACGAGUGGGGCAUUCGUGUACUGGGGACACAUUCUUGUUUCAAUCUUUUUU